rnacentral:rRNA from 1 species
AGAGUUUGAUCCUGGCUCAGAUUGAACGCUGGCGGCAUGCCUUACACAUGCAAGUCGAACGGUAACAGGUCUUCGGAUGCUGACGAGUGGCGAACGGGUGAGUAAUAUAUCGGAACGUGCCCAGUCGUGGGGGAUAACGCAGUGAAAGCUGUGCUAAUACCGCAUACGAUCUAUGGAUGAAAGCGGGGGAUCGCAAGACCUCGCGCGAUUGGAGCGGCCGAUAUCAGAUUAGGUAGUUGGUAGGGUAAAAGCCUACCAAGCCAACGAUCUGUAGCUGGUCUGAGAGGACGACCAGCCACACUGGAACUGAGACACGGUCCAGACUCCUACGGGAGGCAGCAGUGGGGAAUUUUGGACAAUGGGCGCAAGCCUGAUCCAGCAAUGCCGCGUGCAGGAUGAAGGCCUUCGGGUUGUAAACUGCUUUUGUACGGAACGAAAAAGUCUGCCCUAAUACGGCGGGCCCAUGACGGUACCGUAAGAAUAAGCACCGGCUAACUACGUGCCAGCAGCCGCGGUAAUACGUAGGGUGCGAGCGUUAAUCGGAAUUACU